rnacentral:rRNA from 1 species
UACGUAGGUGGCAAGCGUUAUCCGGAUUUAUUGGGCGUAAAGGGAACGCAGGCGGUCUUUUAAGUCUGAUGUGAAAGCCUUCGGCUUAACCGGAGUAGUGCAUUGGAAACUGGGAGACUUGAGUGCAGAAGAGGAGAGUGGAACUCCAUGUGUAGCGGUGAAAUGCGUAGAUAUAUGGAAGAAGACCAGUGGCGAAAGCGGCUCUCUGGUCUGUAACUGGCGCUGAGGUUCGAAAGCGUGGGUAGCAAACAGG